GCCUGCGUAGCCCAACUGGUAGAGGCCCAGCCUUAAACGCUGCACAGUGCAGGUUCGAUGCCUGCCGCGGGCA
rnacentral:tRNA from 1 species